rnacentral:snoRNA from 1 species
ACGCACAACUUAAGAACUUGCGAAAUCUACACAUUCUUGGCUCUCCUUAGCUGCGUUUUGCAGUUCAGAUUCUGCCAAGUUUUGUGUUCAUGGUUACGCGAGUGUCAUAUUUGUGCUA